GUGCUCGCUUCGGCAGCGUAUACACUACAAACUGAAACGAUACAGACAAGAUCAGCAUGGCCCCUGCACAAGGAUGACAUGCAAAUUCACGAAGCGUACCAUAUUUUU